rnacentral:tRNA from 1 species
GCCGCGGUAGCUCAGUUGGUAGAGCAAUGGACUGAAAAUCCAUGUGUCGCCGGUUCGAACCCGGCCUGCGGCACCA